rnacentral:rRNA from 1 species
UACAGAGAGUGCAAGCGUUAAUCAGAUUUACUGGGCGUAAAGUGCGCGUAGGUGGAUAUUUAAGUCAGUUGUGAAACCCCCGGGCUUAACCUGGGAACUGCAUCUGAUACUGGAUGUCUAGAGUAUGGUAGAGGGAAGUGGAAUUUCCGGUGUAGCGGUGAAAUGCGUAGAUAUCGGAAGGAACACCAGUGGCGAAGGCGGCUUCCUGGACCAAUACUGACACUGAGGCGCGAAAGCGUGGGGAGCAAACAGG